GAGAGGGGGAGGGGCAGGGGGACGGCGGCGCGGGCCGUGCGAGGGGCGGGGGCCGCCGGGACAAAGGAGCGGCCCUGCUGGGCCACGGGCUCCGCCGCAACCCCUGCGGCGCCUCCUUCCUUUGCAGCCGAGGGAGAGUGGGAGGAUUUUGCCUGGCCGUGCUCACCUUAAUAUCCUUCUCGGCCUGCCUUAAGCGCUGCUUCUCCAAAGCCCCAUGUGUGUCCGGCCGGCCGCCUGGCCGGCCCAGGACUGCCCGGGUUUGAACCCUGGAAGCCCUGCCUCCCAGGAGCCGGCUCAGACAGAUCGGGGACACUUAAGUCACUCACCUUGUUAAAGUUUCGUGGGGCCAAAAACGUUUCCCUUUGGAAGGGAAGUAGCUAAAGCCGAUAUUUUUCUGGUGGGAGGAUUUGCUUACGUCUUUGAGAGAGGGGAAGACUUAAGGGGAGACGGGUGCCAGGAAAGACGAAGAAAGUUGUAGAGGAAAAACUGUAGGUGGACAGGGAGGCUGGAGAAGAGGCAGCUAAAAGAAGCAUGGCUGGGCACAUUUUGAUAAGAGGAUCGAAACCGCUGCCGGCCGGCAUCAUACUGAAACCCGGUUACUCAGAAUGCGCUGCUGGCAGGCUGCCAUCCUGCUAGCCGAAAAUGCGCAUUGCCACGUGGUGAGCUGCAGCACCCUGUUGGGAACAGAACUCGAAUGAUGAGAUUUGUGAAACUGAGAAGCAGUGUUUCAUUUGGGGAAGAUUAGAAGCUGUGAUAUGCUCAUUAGACCGCCAGUCUUGAGGAAGAAAAAAAGACAGCCCAUCUAUGGAAAUGUUGCCCAUUGCUCGCCAGCAAAAUUAAAUCUUUGGUUAGGUAAUCUCUGGAAACCUCUAUAGAAACAAGAAUGAUUUUUCCCACUUAAUGGAUGAGCAAAUUUAAGAGACUAAAUGAUGUUUCCUUAUUUGGGGAAUCUAAAAAAGGAUACAGAUGAACUUAUUUACAAAACAGAGUCUCACAGACAUAGGAAAACAAUCCCAUGGUUACCAAAGGGUGACGGGGAGGGAGGAUAAAUUAGGAGUUUGGGAUGAGCAUACACACACUGCUCUAUAUAAAACGCAAAUAACAAGGACCUACUGUAGAGCCCAGGGAACUAUACUCAGUAACUUGUAAUAUAACCUAUAAUGGAAAAGAAUCUGAAAUAUAUUCUUUUCCAUAUAUAUAUAUUCUUUUACAGUUUCUUUUCGGUGAUAUAUAUAACAAACUUUUCUGUACACCGGACACUAACAUAACAUUGUAAAUCAACUAUACUUAAAUUUUUAAAAAUUAACAUAUCUAUGUUAACAACCCAAUGGUGCAGCUGCCAGCAGACCUCAACAUUCUUGAAUUUAAAGGUACUGUUUAUACCGUUGUUCAAAACAUCAAAAUCUGUCUGGUCUCAACAUGGAUUACCAUUCUGAAGUGUAGUUUAUUUGUUUGAUUUGUACUACAUUCCCCAGAACUUUCUUCCUUGUGUGAUUUGCUACAAGAACAUUAUAAGAUUCACAUUUGCACAACAUUAAACUAAAUUAGGCCAAAGGCAGUGUAAUAAUCAUCUUUUUAAUCUGAGUCUCAAACACUGUUCCAGGUCACACAAUAGGGUCUCAGCUAAUACUGGAUAAAAGAAUAAAUGGGUCCUUUUGCUCCCCUGGGACCACACCAGACCAUCCGACUACACUAAAGUGUGAGUAACAAUUUAUGUGCAGAAGUUAUGAGCUUUGAGGAAAUGAGAAAUUAAAGAAACAUAAUCUCUAAGAAAAGCAGUGAUUGGUCAGGAGUAUGGCUGCAUUCGUAAUUUCAGAUAAAUAUUCAUCGAAGGACAGCUAACUAUAAAAUUUAUGAGCGUUCCAAAGGUUGAUCAGUUUUACCAUGCUAAACAGAGUAUCCUCGUAAGUAGGAAUAGUGUAAGUCACAUUGCUAAACCAUGUCAUGAUACAACAUCUAUUAGUAUCUUGAAUUUAAGACAAAUCACAUUUUACCUACACUCUUUCCCGGUUAUUAUAAAUUGUCUUAUGCCAUCUCACAAGUCAUUUUUAUCAAAUAAUUAAAAGUUGACCUUUCCUUUA